GACGAACGCUGGCGGCGUGCUUAACACAUGCAAGUCGAACGGAAAGGCCCUGCUUUUGUGGGGUGCUCGAGUGGCGAACGGGUGAGUAACACGUGAGUAACCUGCCCUUGACUUUGGGAUAACUUCAGGAAACUGGGGCUAAUAUCGGAUAGGAGCUCCUGCUGCAUGGUGGGGGUUGGAAAGUUUCGGCGGUUGGGGAUGGACUCGCGGCUUAUCAGCUUGUUGGUGGGGUAGUGGCUUACCAAGGCUUUGACGGGUAGCCGGCCUGAGAGGGUGACCGGCCACAUUGGGCCUGCGAUACGGCCCAGACUCCUACGGGAGGCAGCAGUGGGGAAUAUUGCACAAUGGGCGGAAGCCUGAUGCGGCAACGCCGCGUGCGGGAUGACGGCCUUCGGGUUGUAAACCACUGUCGCCUGUGCCGAAGCGUGAGUGACGGUAAUGGGUAAAGAAGCACCGGCUAACUACGUG
rnacentral:rRNA from 1 species